rnacentral:misc_RNA from 1 species
AACGCACCUUGCACCCUUUGGUAUUCCGAAGGGUACACCCGUUUGAGUGUCAUUGUAAUCUCACUACAACCACUUUAUUGUUGUUUGUAUGUGGACUUGGAUGUUGCCGUGUAACAAACGGCUCGUCUGAAAUGCCUGAGUGUAUCCUGCUUUUGCGGCGUAUUCGGUGUGAUAAAUCUUCACCGGAGUUGACUUUCGGGUCGCGCUUGUAUUGUCGGGCUCUAUGCUUCCAACCGUCCUAACAAGACAAUCUCUGACAAUUUGACCUCAAAUCGGGUGGGACUACCCGCUGAACUUAA